UAAUGUUCGGAAGUGCCGGUUUUUGAUAGCGUUUGUUAUGUAAAUUACAAGUCACGUGAUAGUGGAUUUGAUAACAUUCUUCACUCGACAUUGUGUUUGGUGUCGGUUACUAAAUCGGAUAUAUAUCGUCCCCACGUUGAUUCUCAGCAUUAAGAAAAAUCCACCAGGCUCGUUUACAGCACUUUUUGUGCCUGGCAGUCCGAUAAGGUGUACACUGUUAUGGUUUGACAUUCAAUCGACU